rnacentral:siRNA from 1 species
GGCCAUCAAGAGUGCCUUCGAGAG